AUUGAACGCUGGCGGCAUGCCUUACACAUGCAAGUCGAACGGUAACAGGUCUUCGGAUGCUGACGAGUGGCGAACGGGUGAGUAAUACAUCGGAACGUGCCCGAUCGUGGGGGAUAACGCAGCGAAAGCUGUGCUAAUACCGCAUACGAUCUACGGAUGAAAGCGGGGGAUCGCAAGACCUCGCGCGGACGGAGCGGCCGAUGGCAGAUUAGGUAGUUGGUGGGAUAAAAGCUUACCAAGCCGACGAUCUGUAGCUGGUCUGAGAGGACGACCAGCCACACUGGGACUGAGACACGGCCCAGACUCCUACGGGAGGCAGCAGUGGGGAAUUUUGGACAAUGGGCGCAAGCCUGAUCCAGCCAUGCCGCGUGCAGGAUGAAGGCCUUCGGGUUGUAAACUAGCUUUUGUACGGUAACGAAAAAGACUACUCUCUAAUACAGGGGUGAAGUGACGGUACCGUAAGAAUAAAGCACCGGCUAACUACGUGCCAGCACG
rnacentral:rRNA from 1 species